GGAUUCAAUCAAAAGUUAUUAAGUGCGGGUAGUACACACUAUGCAGCUCACCAGACAUCUGAGAAACGAGGUUUAAAGACCAUGUUUAGGGCACAGGGUGAAGCCAUAUCUCUAUUCCUGCACCUGCAUCUCCAAUUCCUGGUUGAGAUUGAGAGUCCUUAUUUACUGUAUAUGCCACCUGCUCAUGAACACAACCCUCCUAGUGCACCAUCCUUCUCCAUUCCAAGGUCUUG